GGCGUUCGGGGCGCUCGCUCCCUUCCCUCAAGCUGCGGGCAGAAGCAGGAGAAGUUGGGGAGGGGGGCGCGCGGCAGGUCGGCCAAUGGGGACGCACGGGGGUCGUAAUGGGGUCCCCGGAGAAUGGGGGCUCUGAGGCGGGAGAGUAGAGAAGGAGAGGAAGCGAGAGGCAACGCGACCGCUGAUUGGGCCGUUUGAAUGAGACGCCUCCUCCGCCCGGCGUACGCGCGCGUGCCCUGACGCCCAGGAAAUCGCGCACGCGAGUAACGGUCGGCCGCGGAGCCGGGGAGGGGCAUGGGAGGGCGGGACUCGGGGGGGUUUAAACGGAUGACGGAAGGCUCCCUGGCUAAUGGGGACACGUAAUGGUGGAAUGGCGUCACGGGGCUCGUAAGCGCCAGUCCUUGACGGAGAAGGCGGUGCCAGGGGGCGGGAAGGAGUGGAGAGUAACCAAUGGGAACCUUGUCUAGGUCGGGCCAAGCCGUUCGUAGCCAACGAAGUUCGUCGGUUUUGUAUAUGCAAAUUAGGUGUGCGCGGCCGUCCGCGCCCGCUCCUCAGCCCGCGGUGGGGAUGGGCGCUAGGAGUCGGCUGCAUUUUUCUACGAGGCGCCAUUUUGUGCGGGCACUGCCCCGUGACCCGUGUCGUGUGUCGCGGGCGGGGCAGGAGCAGGUUGCACGGCCUUGAGGGCUUGGCCGUCUGUGGCCUGUGACUCUGGCCAGGUGGCAAUCACGACGUCGGGUUUCUGUUUCCCCACACGGGAGGCGGGCGCCGGGCUCCCUCGGGAUGUGCCGGAAGGAGGUCGGGGCCUGGCGCUGCCCGCCAGUGGUCCUGUCUCCACCCUGUAGCCCCGCGGCGGUGUCCCCGUGUCCCCGACGGAUCUCGCCACCCUGCAGCCCCGCGCCGGGGAAUGGUGUCCCCUUGUCCUCGCCGUGUCCCGGGCACCGGCCUCGGCCUCCCAUCCCUGCCCGCCACGCGUCCCGGGAAGACCCCUGAGCCGCCUCCCUCGUGCAUGCGGCCCGAGCUCCAGCAGCAGGGACCCCACUGUUGUGGUCGUAAGCAGCACCCAUGGAGGAUCCGCCGCGUACUGGCGAGCCCCACCUGGCCCUCAGUCCCAGCCAGCCGGUUGCAGGGGACUCUGACCCGAGGGGCGCUCAAGGACACUGAGGGAAGAAGCAGGGGCCUCGCCCAGGUUCCCCCCACCCCCACCCCCCACCCCCCAAGCAGAGACAAGGUCGAGGUGGUAUGGUAGUCAAGCCCGGCCCUGCUGCAAGAAUGCAUCCAAAAGACACAACCGUGCCGAUAGUGACGGUCAUGAUGCAGCCCCUGCGAGCUGCGCGCCAGGCACUGCCCUCGUUCCAUUGCAGACGGCAGCCCUGUCGGGUGGGAGCGCGAUGUGCACGCACGAAGCUUUUGGAAUAGGCGGAGGGUAACAAGGGGCAAAACCCCUGGCAGCGUGGGGCUGACGCUCUCCUGGGGGUGCCAGGCAGGCAAGCAAAUAUAUAAUGUGCUGUGGGAGUGUCAUAAAGACCGAAGGAGGGAAUAUCAGGGCCUGCGCUGGGAGGGGGGGGGAGACAGGGAGUGAUGGGGUGGGGGGAACCUUUAGAGAAAGGGAAGAGGCAGGUCUCGGGUCCAGGCCGCAGUGAACAGUGUGUUCUUUCCUUCGAUCAAGGAGGAGCCGCGGGAGGCUCUGAGCCGAGCGCGACUCCGUCUGACUUCUGGUAGAGAACAGAGAGGCCGAGGAGGAAGUGCUGGCAGCCAUGGAGGUGGGGAUGAAGACCGUGCUGAGCAGACCUGCAGCCUGCAGAACCAGGAGGUGGCACAUUUCUGUUGCGUGAGCUGCUCGGUUCAGCGGCCCCAGCAAACCAACAGCACAGAGCACCCCGCUUCGGCCAGACUCAGCCAAAGGCCUCAGGUAGAAGGAGGUGCAAACACAGGCUUAAAUGCACAGAGGGAAGAGGCUUUCUUUGGAAGAAACCGAGGACUUUUCAAGGUGCUGUACCGGUCCCUCCCACACCCAGCUCCUUGCUUGGUGACAGACUGGGGGGGGGGGGGGGCGGGCAGCCCUGACCACCGGACUCUUAGAUGCCCACCCCCGCCUUGGCCAGUGACACAAACGCAGAGGUGGAAACCCAUUUCUUCUCGACAGUAAACCUUGAGACUGGGGCUCAGGAAACAUCUGUUUAUUCCAAAAAAUACCAAGUUACCACUCCACCGCUGUCCUCACCAAGGAACUGGGGGGGAGGGGGGGUCUGGUGUAGAGCCCGGGAGGGGCAGGGAUAAAAAGGUGUCCAGCACUGUCUGGUCCAGAAUUGUCUUCUCUCUGCACCCCUCCCCUUGCCCCCUCCACCAGAAGUGGGGGGUGGGGGAAAUGUGUGAGUGUGCGCGCAUGCGCAUUUAUCAGGGGCGGAAGACUCAGAUGGCGAGGUCCCGGCUCCGUAAGCAUCGAGGGUGACCGGGCAGGACAGGGCUGCUUCCUCACCCCCUUGAGACCUCUCCCCACUAUGGCUUAUUUGAGAUAAGAGGUCAAGGCCCCGAGGUCAGGCGGCCUGUGGCAGAGUGAGUGCGGGGAAGGGGGAAUGAGAUUCCUGGAAUCCAGGCCAGGAGAGAGCAAGUUGAGGUGUGUGGGGGCGUGUACAAAAGCUGAAAGAUCCCAAACCCCCAAAUUCUGGGGACUGGAGAAAGCUGGGUGCUCAGUGGGGAAGGUGAGCAGAGGGUGUGCAAGGGGGGCAGGUGCCCAAGCUGGCUCCUUUCUUGGGAAGUCACAGUCUGCCUGAGGGGCGCUGGGCGCGGUGAGGCCCUAGGAGGGAUUGGAGGAACCCAGAGGAGCAGCCAUAAGCAUGGAGUCAAAAAACUGGCACUGGGGCCCAGGUAGAUGGGGUUGGCUCCCCAGUUCCCCCGGUGUGGUGGGAGCUGAGGGCCAGUUCUCUGCCCCAGGGUCCUGACGGGAAGGGAUGAGCUGAGGUGCCAGUAUUGGGGGGGGGGGGAGAGAAGAGGGAGAGGGACGGCCCAGAGAAGGGAGAAGAGGCCCCCUCGCCUUGCCUUGGGGGCUGGGGAGGGGGUAUGUAGCCCUUUAAAAGUGGGGGAAUGGCCGCCCCCCAGCAACAUGGCUAUAUACAAAGGGAAUUGGGGCAGAUUGUGCAUUGGGUGUUGAGGAAUCCCCAAAACCCCUGGAGGCUCCCUGGUGUGUGAGGGGGAGGGAGGGGGAAGACACUACCUCUCCGUCGUCUUGAGAUGAUGCAGAUCACCACCCCACCAUGGCACUGGCAGUGGCUGUGGCCCUCAGGAUGGGCCUGCUCCACGAUCAGGCCAGCAGAAGACAUGAUUGAAGGCCCCAGAGAGGCCACAGCUGCCCACCCAGCCCAUGGGGUCAAGUCUGGCCCAAGCCAAUGGAGUGCUGUUUUGGAUAGGGGUCCAGGUAACAGGGGCAGUGAUAUCACCUGAGACCUGUAAAGCCCCCCACACAUACACACUCCCUGGUGAUGAUAAAAGGUAUCUGUGUUGACCCUGUCACCAAUGAGAUGGUUGGGUGAAGGGCUGUGAGUUAUCAGGAGGGGCCUGGAUGCCCUCACCAGGGGGGUGAUGGGGUCUGGCCAAAACAAGGUCUGUGGUGGGGUUGAUGCAGGCAUCAGCUUAAGUCAGGGGAGAGGCAGUGACAUCAUUAAAAAGGGGCAGACUAAGGAUGAUGUCAUCAGAGGGGUCCUCACCUUAUUCCAUUUUUGAGGGAAUAGGAAAAUGGUGUGUUAUUGUGCUAGUUCCCCUUACGGGAGCGAUUAUAGGUGCCAUGGGACCCCAGAAAACAACUGAAAUGCAGCCAUUGUAGUACUUGGCCCUCAAGAUGAUGGAUCCUGGAAGAUGAUGAUACAUGGUUGAAGUGGAUCCUAGUAAAUGAUGACAUAUUUGGGUGUCAUGGAUCCUAGGAGAUGAUGAUGCUAUGGUCAUGGUGGGUCCUGGGAGAUGAUGACACCAUGGUUGAAAUGGAUCCUGGGGGGUCAUGACCCCAUUAGCUCUCAUGGAUCCUGGGAGGUGAUGACACCAUGGCUGGAGUCGGUCCGGGGAGGUGAUAACCCCAUGGUUGAAAUGGGUCCUGGGAGGUGAUGAUAGCAUUGGCUUUCAUGGGUCCUAGGAAGUGAUGACACCACAGUUAUCAGGGACUAUGGGAAAU